GAUGAACGCUGGCGGCGUGCCUAAUACAUGCAAGUCGAGCGAACAGAUGAGGAGCUUGCUCCUCUGACGUUAGCGGCGGACGGGUGAGUAACACGUGGAUAACCUACCUAUAAGACUGGGAUAACUUCGGGAAACCGGAGCUAAUACCGGAUAAUAUAUUGAACCGCAUGGUUCAAUAGUGAAAGACGGUUUUGCUGUCACGUAUAGAUGGAUCCGCGCCGCAUUAGCUAGUUGUUAAGGUAACGGCUUACCAAGGCAACGAUGCGUAGCCGACCUGAGAGGGUGAUCGGCCACACUGGAACUGAGACACGGUCCAGACUCCUACGGGAGGCAGCAGUAGGGAAUCUUCCGCAAUGGGCGAAAGCCUGACGGAGCAACGCCGCGUGAGUGAUGAAGGUCUUCGGAUCGUAAAACUCUGUUAUUAGGGAAGAACAAAUGUGUAAGUAACUAUGCACGUCUUGACGGUACCUAAUCAGAAAGCCACGGCUAACUACGUG
rnacentral:rRNA from 1 species